rnacentral:rRNA from 1 species
UACGAAGGGAGCUAGCGUUGUUCGGAAUCACUGGGCGUAAAGCGCACGUAGGCGGAUGUGUCAGUCAGGGGUGAAAUCCCGGAGCUCAACUUCGGAACUGCCUUUGAUACAGCACGUCUUGAGUCCGAUAGAGGUGGGUGGAAUUCCUAGUGUAGAGGUGAAAUUCGUAGAUAUUAGGAAGAACACCGGUGGCGAAGGCGGCCCACUGGAUCGGUACUGACGCUGAGGCAUGAAAGCGUGGGGAGCAAACCGG